rnacentral:rRNA from 1 species
GAUGAACGCUGGCGGCGUGCUUAACACAUGCAAGUCGAGCGAGAAAAGUUCUUCGGAGCUUUUCUAGCGGCGGACGGGUGAGUAACACGUGGGCAACCUGCCUCAUAGAGGGGAAUAGCCUUCCGAAAGGAAGAUUAAUACCGCAUAACAUUGUUGAAAGGCAUCUUUUAACAAUCAAAGGAGCAAUUCGCUAUGAGAUGGGCCCGCGGCGCAUUAGCUAGUUGGGGAGGUAACGGCCCACCAAGGCGACGAUGCGUAGGCGACCUGAGAAGGUGAUCGGGCACAUUGGAACUGAGGAACGGUCCAGACUCCUACGGGAGGCAGCAGUGGGGAAUAUUGCACAAUGGGGGAAACCCUGAUGCAGCAACGCCGCGUGAGUGAUGAAGGUCUUCGGAUUGUAAAGCUCUGUCUUUAGGGACGAUAAUGACGGUACCUAAGGAGGAAGCCACGGCUAACUACGUGCCAGCCGCCGCAGUAACAC